GUGAAUCAUCAAAUCUUUGAACGCACAUUGCACUUUCUAGUAUUCCGGAAAGUAUGCCUGUUUGAGGGUCAGUUAUAUAAAAAUCGGUGUCGUUGCUGCUUUUCGUGGUGUCGCGUCGGAAUUGAGUUGUCUUAUCUUAGGUUAAGUGACUUAAAAUUUUGUAUGAUUUCGGAACGUAUCUAAAUUUCUUACGUACGUUUGAGAUCUCGAAUACUUUAUUAGGUUCGGUCAUCAUCUUGAUUCGCAUAUAUAAUUU
rnacentral:misc_RNA from 1 species